AGAGUUUGAUCAUGGCUCAGGACGAACGCUGGCGGCGUGCAUAAUACAUGCAAGUAGAACGCUGAAGAGAGGAGCUUGCUCUUCUUGGAUGAGUUGCGAACGGGUGAGUAACGCGUAGGUAACCUGCCUUGUAGCGGGGGAUAACUAUUGGAAACGAUAGCUAAUACCGCAUAACAAUGGAUGACACAUGUCAUUUAUUUGAAAGGGGCAAUUGUUCCACUACAAGAUGGACCUGCGUUGUAUUAGCUAGUAGGUGAGGUAAUGGCUCACCUAGGCGACGAUACAUAGCCGACCUGAGAGGGUGAUCGGCCACACUGGGACUGAGACACGGCCCAGACUCCUACGGGAGGCAGCAGUAGGGAAUCUUCGGCAAUGGGGGCAACCCUGACCGAGCAACGCCGCGUGAGUGAAGAAGGUUUUCGGAUCGUAAAGCUCUGUUGUAAGUCAAGAACGGGUGUGAGAGUGGAAAGUUCACACUGUGACGGUAGCUUACCAGAAAGGGACGGCUAACUACGUGCCAGCAGCCGCGGUAAUACGUAGGUCCCGAGCGUUGUCCGGAUUUAUUGGGCGUAAAGCGAGCGCAGGCGGUUUGAUAAGUCUGAAGUUAAAGGCUGUGGCUCAACCAUAGUUCGCUUUGGAAACUGUCAAACUUGAGUGCAGAAGGGGAGAGUGGAAUUCCAUGUGUAGCGGUGAAAUGCGUAGAUAUAUGGAGGAACACCGGUGGCGAAAGCGGCUCUCUGGUCUGUAACUGACGCUGAGGCUCGAAAGCGUGGGGAGCGAACAGGAUUAGAUACCCUGGUAGUCCACGCCGUAAACGAUGAGUGCUAGGUGUUGGAUCCUUUCCGGGAUUCAGUGCCGCAGCU
rnacentral:rRNA from 1 species